ensembl:lncRNA
AAUGGAUGUGAGUUUGAGCAAAUUCCGGGAGAUGGUGAAGGACACGGAAGCCUGUUGCGCUGCAGUCCACGGGGUCACAAGAGUCGGAUGCAACUUAUCGGCUGAACAACAACAAAGCAGGCUCUAGUAUUCAAUUUCACCUCCUGGUUUUUUUCAAUGGAAUAUUUUAAAUGUAGCAUCUUCUCUCUUUCUUAAGCAGUCUCUGUAAAGUCUAGGUUUUAUAAAAUUGUGGGCGGAAAAUUCGUUUCCCAGGAUUUUCAUGGGCCUGACUCCCUUGCUGGGAAUGUGUUUUGCUGGGUUCUAUAUUAAGGGGGUGUCUGGUGGCCCACACCCCACAGUUAGCUCCUGUCAUUCGCCUGCAGUGUUAGAGAGCCCACCUGGGGCCCAGGUGCCAGCCCAAUUAGGCUCUGUCCCUGGCUCCUUGUGUGACCUUGCGCCAGUGCGACCUUGGGCUGGAAGAAAGGCUUGUCCUUCCAACUCAGCUGAUGGAGCCAUGGCUGCAGGCACUCACGUGGAGACCAGAGAACCCUGGCUGCAGCAUCUGCCGAGGGCCUGGCCUUGAGGGGAGAAGCAGAGAGAGAUGGAUGUGGGGAGGUGGGGAGCCCGCACCAGACUUGAGAGCAGGGUGGAAGCAGGAAGCUAUAGCAGGACCUGUCAGGGUUGUGUCUGCAGAGGAGCCACCCGUACCGGGCCCCUUGGGAGUUGAUGUCCAGACCUUUGUGUGGCUUUGUCCUGCGAGGCACACGGGGUUCAUCCCAGUUUACAGAUGUGAAAACUGAGGCUUGGAGUCUCAGCACAAGUUUUCCUUUCCUCGGAUCCAGCCUCCACACAGGCCCUCGGAGCUCUUUGUAAAUCCUGCCACUCUUGCCUCUUCCCUUCAACUUCCCAUAAACUGUUCCCACCCCGCUUGCUGUCUCGCUGUGCCCCAAACACUCAGCACAGAGUGCUCCUGCUCAGGGCCUUUGCACAUGCUGUUCUUCCCACCACCUGGCACCAGCCAGCUCUCCUCCCCCACCCCCNNNNNNNNNNNNNNNNNNNNNNNNNNNNNNNNNNNNNNNNNNNNNNNNNNNNNNNNNNNNNNNNNNNNNNNNNNNNNNACUGACCCUAAGGGACACCAUGGAGCGGCCCAGUCCGGACCAGAGCCCCUCCAGCCUGCCCCAGCGGCGCCCCCUCCACUCAGGGGGCAGGACUGUCGCUUUGAAGACGAGAACAGUGUUUGUAACAAUGAUGUACCCACGGCCAUGGACAAUCCCCCACCCCCGACCCCUUGCCAGACCAGAAGGCUUCCUCAAGCACGACCUUCGACGGAGAGCGGUACAGCCCUGGCCUGGCCCCCCGGGACCUGCAGCCUGGACGCCCUGGACACUCGGCAGUUUCUGGAGUUGGCUCGGGAAGGCUGGGGUGAUCCAAACAGGCCCCUCUCCCCAGGAGGCGCUGCCCUGAGGACCGUCUUGGCCCCUGGGCAUGGCCCCAGCUUCCCCUUCAGGCACCAAGGAGAGAAAUCCGGUCAUUUGGAGGCAAGAGGAGACCCCCUUUUCUGCAGCCUCUUCCAGACUAAGGCAGUCCCCAGGAUGGAGCCCCAGGCCUGGCAGGGCUGCAGUUGCACACACUACAAACGUGCCUGCAGCCUCGUCGAGCAUGGAAUCAGCCAGGUACACGUGGCUGAGCCUUCAGGGAGGCGUGGCCAUGCACAUGUAACUGAACACACAGCCCAACAACCCCCUUUCAGUGGUACGAGGCGUCUGCCUGGGCAUUUUAAGUCCUGUCUCCUGUAG